rnacentral:lncRNA from 1 species
UUGUUUUCUCAUAUCAAUCAACCCAUGCUUCACUUUUAUUUAUAUUUCCAGUUUUUUAGAUCUAUGUCUUAAUGCAUACUUUUUAUUUCUUUUAUUUUGUUUGAUCUUUGUUCUAUUGCUGCGAAAUUCCAUCCGCAUGCGACACAUGUCGUGGGUAUGACGGCCAUCUUUUGCGCAAAUCAAUUCAAAGCUUUUAUACACCAUCUGUGUGUAUUUUAUAAGCUGCUUCUACCAAGAGGUUUUUGUGAUUGGUUUUUUUCCAUCGUUCCAUUAACCUCUAUCAAAUUAGAAGCGUACAAUUUUUUAUAACUUUUUUCAUCUUUUAUUCUGUUAGAUUUAUUUUAUCUUUUACUAGUUUUAGAUAUUAGGAUAGAAUAUUCAUGAUAAGAAGUUAUACGAGUUUGUUGCUUUUCUGAGUAAAGUUAGUUUGCUAUCUCUUUUACUAGUUUUAAUUGUUGAUACGAAGGUACUUGAACUUUAUGACUUUGGUGAGUAAAAAGGCCAAGAUUUGACAAAGUUUGAAAAGGAUUCAGAAAAGUAUGUUCGUAACCUUUACUAUAUUUGGUAAUAAUUCUCAUUUUAUUUUCAAUGUAAGGAGAAACUAGGAUCCGUUCAAUUCGGGGAACUUUGCGUCAUUAUGGAUAAGUAUGAGUUUGAAAUUUUUCCAAUUAGUCUCUUCUAUUUUAGGUUGGUUUGAAUCCACUUUUUUGUCUUGUCUAAAUUGUUUUUUUGCUAUUAAUAAACGAAUUGACGGCCGUUUUUCUCGCUUUGAUUGAAAUAAACUGUUAUAAUUGGCUUUUCCUAAAUGAUAUCCAAAAAAAUAUUACUUUUACAAUAAUAAAGUUUAUAUUUUCUAAAAAUAAUUAUAAUAAAGUUUAUGGUAGUAAAUUUUAUUAAAUGAGGGAUUGCAGUAGAAUCUUAAAUUAAAU